GAUGAACGCUAGCUACAGGCUUAACACAUGCAAGUCGAGCGACCGGCGUACGGGUGAGUAACGCGUAACCAACCUUUCCAUUACUGUGAGAAAACCUGCCGAAAGGCAGACUAAUACAGCGUAGUAAUGGAUGGGGAUGCGAUUGAUUAGCUUGUUGGCGGGGUAACGGCCAACACAGGCGACGAUCAGUAGGGGUUCAGAUAGGCAGGCCCCCCACAUUGGAACUGGGACACGGUCCAAACGCGUACGGGAGGCAGGAGUGAGGAAUAUUGGGCAAGGGACGGAAGUCUGAACAAGCAAAGUAGAGUGUAGGAUGACGGCCUAUGGGUGUUAAACUGCGUUUGAAUGGGGAUAGGUACCAUAUGAAUAAGGACCGGCUAACUCCGUGCCAGCAGCCGCGGUAAUUC
rnacentral:rRNA from 1 species